rnacentral:rRNA from 1 species
UACAUAGGGGGCAAGCGUUGUCCGGAUUUACUGGGUGUAAAGGGUGCGUAGGCGGGUUGGUAAGUCAGUGGUGAAAUCUCAUAGCUUAACUAUGAAACUGCCUCUGAUACUGCCAAUCUUGAGUUCAGAAGAGAGAGAUGGAAUUCCAGGUGUAGUGGUGAAAUACGUAGAUAUCUGGAGGAACACCAGAGGCGAAGGCGAUCUCUUGGUCUGUAACUGACGCUGAGGCACGAAAGCGUGGGUAGCGAACAGG